UUCUUCAAAGUAUGAGCAAGUUGCAGAA
rnacentral:sRNA from 1 species